ACGCUGGCGGCAUGCCUAACACAUGCAAGUCGAACGGAGAUUAUUUCGGUAAUCUUAGUGGCGAACGGGUGAGUAACGCGUAGGCAACCUGCCCUUUAGUUGGGGACAACAUCCCGAAAGGGGUGCUAAUACCCGAAUGUGAUCGCUUUCUCGCAUGAGGGAGUGAUGAAAGAUGGCCUCUAUUUAUAAGCUCCGGCGGUAUGAGAUGGACCCGCGUCUGAUUAGCUAGUUGGUAAGGUAACGGCUUACCAAGGCGACGAUCAGUAGCCGACCUGAGAGGGUGAUCGGCCACAUUGGAACUGAGACACGGUCCAAACUCCUACGGGAGGCAGCAGUGGGGAAUAUUGCACAAUGGGCGAAAGCCUGAUGCAGCAACGCCGCGUGAGCGAUGAAGGCCUUCGGGUCGUAAAGCUCUGUCCUCAAGGAAGAUAAUGACGGUACUUGAGGAGGAAGCCCCGGCUAACUACGUG
rnacentral:rRNA from 1 species